GGGGGCAACCCUGGCGGCGAGCGGCGAACGGGUGAGUAAUACAUCGGAACGUACCCAGGAGUGGGGGAUAACACAUCGAAAGAUGUGCUAAUACCGCAUACGCCCUGAGGGGGAAAGCGGGGGAUCGCAAGACCUCGCGCUGUUGGAGCGGCCGAUGUCGGAUUAGCUAGUUGGUAGGGUAAAGGCCUACCAAGGCGACGAUCCGUAGCUGAUCUGAGAGGAUGAUCAGCCACACUGGGACUGAGACACGGCCCAGACUCCAACGGGAGGCAGCAGUGGGGAAUUUUGGACAAUGGGCGAAAGCCUGAUCCAGCCAUUCCGCGUGAGUGAAGAAGGCCUUCGGGUUGUAAAGCUCUUUCGGCAGGAACGAAACGGUGAGAGCUAAUAUCUCUUACUAAUGACGGUACCUGAAGAAGAAGCACCGGCUAACUACGUGCCAGCAGCCGCGGUAAUACGUAGGGUGCGAGCGUUAAUCGGAAUUACUGGGCGUAAAGCGUGCGCAGGCGGUGACUCAAGUCAGAUGUGAAAGCCCCGGGCUUAACCUGGGAACGGCAUUUGAAACUAGGUCGCUAGAGUAUGGCAGAGGGGGGUAGAAUUCCACGUGUAGCAGUGAAAUGCGUAGAGAUGUGGAGGAAUACCGAUGGCGAAGGCAGCCCCCUGGGUCAAUACUGACGCUCAUGCACGAAAGCGUGGGGAGCAAACAGGAUUAGAUACCCUGGUAGUCCACGCCCUAAACGAUGUCAACUAGUUGUCGGAGGGGGAGACCUCUUUGGUAACGCAGCUAACGCGUGAAGUUGGCCGCCUGGGGAGUACGGUCGCAAGAUUAAAACUCAAAGGAAUUGACGGGGACCCGCACAAGCGGUGGAUGAAUGUGGAUUAAUUCGAUGC
rnacentral:rRNA from 1 species